UGCCAGCCGCCGCGGUAAUACGGAGGGUGCGAGCGUUAAUCGGAAUUACUGGGCGUAAAGCGCACGCAGGUGGUUUGUUAAGCUAGAUGUGAAAGCCCAGGGCUCAACCUUGGAAUAGCAUUUAGAACUGGCAGGCUAGAGUCUUGGAGAGGGGAGUGGAAUUCCAGGUGUAGCGGUGAAAUGCGUAGAGAUCUGGAGGAACAUCAGUGGCGAAGGCGGCUCACUGGCUCGAUACUGACGCUGAGGUACGAAAGUGUGGGGAGCAAACAGGAUUAGAUA
rnacentral:rRNA from 1 species